AACGAACGCUGGCGGCAUGCCUAACACAUGCAAGUCGAACGAGACCUUCGGGUCUAGUGGCUCACGGGUGCGUAACGCGUUGGAACCUGCCUUUAGGUUCGGAAUAACUCAGAGAAAUUUGAGCUAAUACCGGAUGAUGUCUUCGGACCAAAGAUUUAUCGCCUUUAGAUGGGCCCGCGUUGGAUUAGCUAGUUGGUGGGGUAAAGGCCUACCAAGGCGACGAUCCAUAGCUGGUCUGAGAGGAUGAUCAGCCACACUGGGACUGAGACACGGCCCAGACUCCUACGGGAGGCAGCAGUGGGGAAUAUUGGACAAUGGGCGAAAGCCUGAUCCAGCAAUGCCGCGUGAGUGAUGAAGGCCUUAGGGUUGUAAAGCUCUUUUACCCGAGAUGAUAAUGACAGUAUCGGGAGAAGAAGCGCCGGCUAACUCCGUG
rnacentral:rRNA from 1 species